AACGAACGCUGGCGGCAGGCUUAACACAUGCAAGUCGAACGGUUGUAGCAAUACAGCAGUGGCAGACGGGUGAGUAACACGUGGGAACCUUCCUAGGGGUACGGAACAACUCAGGGAAACUUGAGCUAAUACCGUAUACGUCCGUGAGGAGAAAGAUUUAUCGCCCUUAGACGGGCCCGCGUCGGAUUAGCUAGUUGGUGGGGUAACGGCCUACCAAGGCGACGAUCCGUAGCUGAUCUUAGAGGAUGAUCAGCCACACUGGGACUGAGACACGGCCCAGACUCCUACGGGAGGCAGCAGUGGGGAAUCUUGGACAAUGGGCGCAAGCCUGAUCCAGCCAUGCCGCGUGAGUGAAGAAGGUCUUCGGAUUGUAAAGCUCUUUUGCCAGGGACGAUAAUGACGGUACCUGGAGAAUAAGCCCCGGCAAACUUCGUGCCAGCCGCCGCCGUAAGAC
rnacentral:rRNA from 1 species